CAGAUAUCUAUUCAAUAUGAAGCUGGAUCCAAGAGUUUAGAAUAAACAGCUGGAGACAUCUAGCCUGGCUCUGGGCAAAGUGAGAUCUUCUCUCCGGAGUCAGCGGGGAGCAGGAAGACCAGCAGGGCCAGGCCAGAGAUGAGCACGCACGGGAUGAGCAGGUUAAGGCCGUAGUAGAGUGUCCUGCGGCGCAUGGUGACCGUGAACGUCACAUCGGGGUGGAGAUGUCCACGUCCAUCAUCUGGAGGUCCAGCAGCCAGCCGUUGUGGGUCCAGGAGCCAAACUUCAGGUCACACUUCUGCACAUCGAAUGGGAACCACCGCACGUCGAUGUAGCAGCGUCCCCAACUAUUUUGGAAUCGGCCUGAUCCAGUUGAUCCAGUCCAGGGAGCUUUGUGUGUAUCCUCAAGAUCCAG